AUUGAACGCUGGCGGCAGGCCUAACACAUGCAAGUCGAGCGGAUGAAGGGAGCUUGCUCCUGGAUUCAGCGGCGGACGGGUGAGUAAUGCCUAGGAAUCUGCCUGGUAGUGGGGGAUAACGUCCGGAAACGGGCGCUAAUACCGCAUACGUCCUGAGGGAGAAAGUGGGGGAUCUUCGGACCUCACGCUAUCAGAUGAGCCUAGGUCGGAUUAGCUAGUUGGUGGGUUAAAGGCCUACCAAGGCGACGAUCCGUAACUGGUCUGAGAGGAUGAUCAGUCACACUGGAACUGAGACACGGUCCAGACUCCUACGGGAGGCAGCAGUGGGGAAUAUUGGACAAUGGGCGAAAGCCUGAUCCAGCCAUGCCGCGUGUGUGAAGAAGGUCCUCGGAUUGUAAAGCACUUUAAGUUGGGAGGAAGGGCAGUAAGUUAAUACCUUGCUGUUUUGACGUUACCAACAGAAUAAGCACCGGCUAACUUCGUG
rnacentral:rRNA from 1 species